rnacentral:lncRNA from 1 species
GUGACGGGUGUGAGGAGUUGUGUGUUUUGUAAACAAACGGAGACGACUUUUCGAGUGCCAACGUGUUAUGCGCAGCAGCGCCCAGGAACAGCGCUCCGUGGCGAUGAUACAUCGACUCGUGCUCACGAAGGUCAUCAGCAGCCGCUCAAGACCACUAAGCCCUAAGGAACACGUGGUGCCUAGCACCCGUUUGCCCAAGUCAUUUCAUGUGACACAGACAAGGC